rnacentral:rRNA from 1 species
UACGUAGGGGGCGAGCGUUGUCCGGAUUUAUUGGGCGUAAAGAGCUCGUAGGUGGUUCGAUAAGUCGGGUGUGAAAACUCUGGGCUCAACUCAGAGACGCCACCCGAUACUGUCGUGACUUGAGUCUGGUAGGGGAGUGUGGAAUUCCCGGUGUAGCGGUGAAAUGCGCAGAUAUCGGGAGGAACACCAGUGGCGAAGGCGGCACUCUGGGCCAGUACUGACACUGAGGAGCGAAAGCGUGGGUAGCGAACAGGAUUAGAAACCCCCGUAGUCC